UACGUAGGGUGCAAGCGUUUGUCCGGAAUUAUUGGGCGUAGAGAGCUCGUAGGCGGUUUGUCGCGUCGAAUGUGAAAACCCGGGGCUCAACCCCGGGCCUGCAUUCGAUACGGGGCAGACUAGAGUUCGGUAGGGGAGUCUGGAAUUCCUAGUGUAGCGGUGAAAUGCGUAGAGAUUAGGAAGAACACCGGUGGCGAAGGCGGUUCUCUGGGCAUGUCCUGACGCUGAGGAGCGAAAGUGUGGGGAGCGAACAGG
rnacentral:rRNA from 1 species